rnacentral:rRNA from 1 species
CCAGGNGGGGUGGCANGGGUUGGUCGGUUCAGGCUUCGGUGUUCGUGGAGGAUGUUUGGGGUUAAGGUCCCCGGCAACCGAGGCGCAACCCCCUAUUCUUUAGGUGGCCAGGCACUUAGGGUGGGCACCUCCUAGAGGAGACUGCCGAGGGAUAACUCGGAGGGAAGGUGGGGACUGACNUCAAAUUCAUGCAUGCCCCUUUAUGUUUUUGGGCUAGCACCACCGUGCUACAAUGGGCUGGUACAGAGGGCAGGCGAUAGAGUGAUCUGGGAGCAAAUCCUAAAAGGCCAGUCCCAGGUUCGGGAUUGUAGGCUGAAACCUCGCCUACAUGAAGCUUGGAGUUGCUAGGUAAUCGUGAAUCAGAAUGUCACGGUGAAUGCGUUGCCCGGGUCUUGUACACACCGCCCGUCACACCAUGGGAAGUUGGGGGCACCCGAAGUGCAGUCGAUAAAGGCUGCCGAAGGUGAAAUCAAUGACUAGGGGUGAAGUCGGUAACAAGGUUAACGCAAGGGGGCGGGAUUUCGUUUUGAGCGAGCUGNGCCAGGGGAUG